AGAGUUUGAUCCUGGCUCAGAAUCAACGCUGGCGGCGUGCCUAACACAUGCAAGUCGCACGAGAAAGGGGAGCAAUCCCUGAGUACAGUGGCGCACGGGUGAGUAACACGUGAAUAAUCUACCUCCGAGUGGGGAAUAACUGAGAGAAAUCUUAGCUAAUACCGCAUAACACUUACGAGUCAAAGCAGCAAUGCGCUUGGAGAGGAGUUCGCGGCCGAUUAGUUAGUUGGCGGGGUAAUGGCCCACCAAGACGAUGAUCGGUAUCCGGCCUGAGAGGGCGCACGGACACACUGGAACUGAAACACGGUCCAGACUCCUACGGGAGGCAGCAGUGGGGAAUUUUGCGCAAUGGGGGAAACCCUGACGCAGCAACGCCGCGUGGAGGAUGAAAUAUCUUGGUAUGUAAACUCCUUUCGAUGGGGAAGAUUAUGACGGUACCCAUAGAAGAAGCCCCGGCUAACUUCGUGCCAGCAGCCGCGGUAAUACGAGGGGGGCAAGCGUUGUUCGGAUUUAUUGGGCGUAAAGGGUGCGUAGGCGGUUUGGCAAGUCUUAUGUGAAAUCUAUGGGCUCAACCCAUAGUCUGCAUAAGAAACUGCCGGGCUUGAGUAUGGGAGAGGUGAGUGGAAUUUCCGGUGUAGCGGUGAAAUGCGUAGAUAUCGGAAGGAACACCUGUGGCGAAAGCGGCUCACUGGACCAUAACUGACGCUGAUGCACGAAAGCUAGGGGAGCAAACAGGAUUAGAUACCCUAGUAGUCC
rnacentral:rRNA from 1 species